GGCACCGCGCUUGGUGGCCGAGUGGUUAAGGCGCGGCCCUGCUAAGGGCGUGGGGCCCUCCCCGCGUGCGUUCGAUCGCAUCGGGUGCCG
rnacentral:tRNA from 1 species